AUGUUGGGUGCGCCGAUCCAAUCUAUUUCUUCUUUGUUUUACAGAGCCGUCGGAGGGAUCCUGCAGAUCCCUUCUAAUGAUUCCUUGGCUCACUGCAUCCCAAGGUGUGGGGAUGUUGACAUCCCAUAUCCCUUCGGUAUAGGGCCCGGCUGCUUCCGUCAAGGCUUCGAUCUCACCUGCAACCACUCCACCAAGCAUCCCAAGCUCUUUCUAGGCAGCAGCUCUAUCCAGGUCACUGGCAAGAACUCCAACUACGGCAUUGCUUUCAGCCCUAUAAUCUUCAACCACACAACGAGGCCAGGUACAAAUACCUACCACAUGUCAUGGGAGGCCCCUGCUAAAGAUGCGUCAGCGAGAAAGCACCGACUGAAGGACCUUGUAAUGGAAAGGGAUGCUGCAUCAUCCCAUUACCAACGGACCUGCCAGGCUUUUCGUGCAAAACUUGUCAGCACUAAUACUACUGCAACACAAUCAGAUUGGUUGCACCCUGGCAUCAUGGCUCUAGUGUCAGAUGAUGAGAGUUAUGUAAGUGAUAAUACAACCAAUAUUUUCUCAAGUUGGAACUCAAUUGAUGAUGCUCCUUCUGCGAUAAUUAGUAUUACCAUCAUCGACCAACCAAGCUGUGCAAGUGCACAGAUGAACUACACAAGCUAUGCUUGUAGCAACGGUAGUAGUUGCCAGAAUUCCUCAUCUGGUGGGUACCUAUGUCACUGCUCUUCUUAUGGACAAGGCAACCCUUACAUUUUAGAUGGAUGCAUCCAAGUUUCUGUCUCAGAAGGUACACAAUAUCAGGUGACUGGUGUCUCCGUGGAAGAUGGGACUCUAACUGCUGGCAACAUUGUGAAUGGAAGUAAUGAAAAAGAGGCAACAUUAGUCAAGACUGACAAUAAUGGAGAGGAAUUGGAGGAACCUAUGGAAGAUCAAUUUGACUUCUCUAUGGAAUACGAUCACAUUGUUAUAAAGUGGGCGAUUGCCAAUUUAACAUGUGAAACAGCUAAGCAAAAGGAUACUAUGUGGUUUCCUGCCGACAUGGACACAAUUUUGACUUUUGACUAA
rnacentral:rRNA from 1 species